AUAGCGUAUAUUAAAGUUGUUGCCGUUAAAAAGCUCGUAGUCGAACUUCGGCCUCUGUCGCCCGGUCCGCCUAUUUGGGUGUGUACUGGAGCGGUGGAGGCUUACCUCGUGGUGAACGGCGAUGUCCUUUACUGGGCGUCGUCGGGAACCAUGACUUUUACUUUGAAAAAAUUAGAGUGUUCAAAGCAGGCUUACGCCCGAAUACAUUAGCAUGGAAUAAUAAAAUAGGACGUGCGGUCCUAUUUUGUUGGUUUCUAGGAUCGCCGUAAUGAUUAAUAGGGAUAGUUGGGGGCAUUCGUAUUCAAUUGCUAGAGGUGAAAUUCUUGGAUUUAUUGAAGACGAACUACUG
rnacentral:rRNA from 1 species